AUAGCGUAUAUUAAAGUUGUUGCAGUUAAAAAGCUCGUAGUUGAACUUCAGACCUGGCUGGGCGGUCUGCCUAACGGUAUGUACUGUCCGGCUGGGUCUUACCUCUUGGUGAGCCGGCAUGCCCUUCACUGGGUGUGUCGGGGAACCAGGACUUUUACCUUGAGAAAAUUAGAGUGUUCAAAGCAGGCUUAUGCCCGAAUACAUUAGCAUGGAAUAAUAAAAUAGGACGUGCGGUUCUAUUUUGUUGGUUUCUAGAGUCGCCGUAAUGAUUAAUAGGGAUAGUUGGGGGCAUUAGUAUUCCGUUGCUAGAGGUGAAAUUCUUGGAUUUACGGAAGACUACCUAUUGCGAAAGCAUUUGCCAAGGAUGUUUUCAUUAAUCAAGAACGAAGGUUAGGGGAUCGAAAACGAUCAGAUACCGUUGUAGUCUUAACAGUAAACUAUGCCGACUACGGAUCGGGCGAACUCCAUUUGAUGUGUCGCUC
rnacentral:rRNA from 1 species